rnacentral:rRNA from 1 species
UACGUAGGGUGCGAGCGUUGUCCGGAAUUAUUGGGCGUAAAGGGCUCGUAGGCGGUCUGUCGCGUCAGGAGUGAAAACUCGGGGCUUAACCCCGAGCCUGCUUCUGAUACGGGCAGACUAGAGGUAUGCAGGGGAGAACGGAAUUCCUGGUGUAGCGGUGAAAUGCGCAGAUAUCAGGAGGAACACCGGUGGCGAAGGCGGUUCUCUGGGCAUUACCUGACGCUGAGACGCGAAAGCCAGGGGAGCGAACGGG